UACAUAUUAUAUUAUACAAUUUGUAUAAAAUGUGAUGGAGUUGUAAAAUAUGUGACACUAUUUUUUUGUAUCUAUUAACUUUAAGAAACACUUGAAUAAGUAAUAUUCUUUUAUGAAGUCCUUCACUGUUGCACGUAUAGUGGUAUCAUGACCUGCUUCUCAUUUAGUCUAGUUUGCCACGUUUAAUUGCUAUUAACCUUUUGAGAAACUGAUCAGUGUUCAGACAGGCACAGUUUUAGCCUUGGUGCUCAGUAGUAAUAAUGGAGAAAAAAUUAUCUCUUCUUCUUGCCUUUUGCUCCCUGAGUCUACUACUGUGAAUAAUUAGGGAGACUGUCAGAACUUUUGUGGCCUGUUGAACAUGUUGAAUGUGAGCGUAGAGCACUUCCCUACCUUUAUUUCACAUUUUGCAUAUUUAAUAUGACCAUUUAGUCUAGCAUAGACAUUACAAUGACAAGUCUUUCUCCUCUUUAGUCAUCUGCUGCAGUUUAAUUAGCAGGGUGUUCUUUCUAAUCUAUGUGCUUUACCUUUUGCAAGCCCAAGAGGAACAGAGCUUAAGUCUUGUGCUCAUUUGCUGACACAGCUUAGAUUUUGUAAUGAGGCAGAAGGAUCCUAAUGUGCUCAGAUGGGAGCCAACUUUGGGCAAGUGUAUGUCUGUUCUCAGAAAUGUUUCUUGUCUUACAUCAGAUAGAAGUUUUAACACAUUAUAAUCUGACUUUUCAGCUUGUCAAAUGAAAAACCACUUAACUUUGCUUAGGGAAGUAUAUUCAAGAGAAGAAAUAGGAUGCUAACUACUUUGAACUGGCAUAUAGAUGUUUGGCAAGUACCAAUGUAACAUAGCUGAUGAAACUAGUAUUCCUUUAAAAGUAAGAAUAUAUAGAAAGGUAAAAGUAAGUAAGAAUAUAUAGAAAGAAGGAAACCUCCUUUAUAUAUAUGACAUCUAGUAGAAGUUAUCAAAAGAUAUUAAAAAGAGCUGAUCAUUAGUUUCCUUAAUAGAAAAAAAGAUACUUUAAUGCUAUGCUGACUUCUGUAUGUUGUUCCUAAUCCUAAUUGUAUUUUUACAUGAUAUACUUCAGCCCUCUGCUGCCAACUGUUUAGUAGUUUGAAGGCCCUUUUCAUGCAUAGUUUGUUUCAGUGAUAAAGAAUAAAUUAGGUGCAUCCAUGUACUUUUCCUAUAUGGACUUAAAUAUGGCUACAAUUACAAUUUUUAAUAAAACAGAAGGAACUUGUGACUAGACGAAUACAUGCACAUUCCUGUCAUAAUAGGUGAAUAAUUGAGAGCAUAUAUUAAUACAGAUUUGCUGCUGUAGCAUAUAUUUUUCUUAUUCUUUUUGUUAUUACUGUAAUAAGUAAUUUCUGUAAUAACAUCACUGUAGAUUAGUGAUGUUAAAUUAGUUUUUAUAAACAAUAACUUUCCAGAUGUUGUUGAACUGUAACUCCCAAUAUUCAUUGCUGAUGGUGAUGCUAAUUGGAACUGCAAGGAGUUUUGAUUCAUUAGAUCAUGAAUGCAUUAGAUCAUCUUCAUUAAUCUGAAAAAUCAUACAAUUAAAUAUUUCAGAAUGGUACCAGUUUUAAUGUUUCUAAUCACUGACAAUAUUGGAAUGUGAGUUGGACAUGUGUGCACAUCUGGUGUUGCUGGGCUAUAUUUACAUUCAGGAUAACUUUCUGAAAUAUGAAAUUAUUUGGAAUAAAUCAUAAUCCCUAAUAGUCACUGUUGGACUAGCCUUGCUCAUCAACUCUAAUUGUGUCUACUUAUGUGCUAUUAAUGCUGCUAACAUGGUUACUGGUGACACUAAUGAAGAAGGAACAGGCAAAAUUCAACAGUUUAGUUGAUAGCCCUCACUGCAGGAUCAUGGCAAAUUGCAUGCUUGGUUGACAGUAGUGGUACUCUCAAACUUGGCUGUCGGGAAGAAGCUUUGUAAAUUUAAAUCAGUGACUUCUCCCCACCUUUUCUUACAGAUGUUGUUUUAGCAAAUUCAUUGUUUAAUGUAGCUGUUCAUAAAAUGGAAGUUUGCUUUGUAUUAUGAUAACCUGCAUCUAAUUUAGAGAGGCUUUGCAGGAACGUAGUCCCUAAGCAUUUGUAUCAAAGUUGCUAAUCCGACGUUUAGUAUUAGUCUGUACUGUGGAAAUUGUGCUUUGCAAUACAGGGUGUUUCCUUGAUUUCUAAAAGAGAAGUGAUGGCUUUGCAGCUGAUUCCCAUCAUAGCUUCCCCAGUAGCACUUUGAUGGGUGUUGCAGGAGAAUGCGCAGUUUACAUCCUCAGCAAAUUCUCUAAGAGACUUUUGCUCUUCUGCAUUUGCAAGUGAUAGGGACAAGGCAAGGAAAAGCUUCAAGGCAACGUGAAGUCCUUUGUUGAAGCAUGUUGUAGUCUCUUUGCUUCAAUGAAGAAAAUAACAUAGGCUCAACAGUAUGAAUGUGUUUGUCAAGAUAAAUGCCACUUCACACACUUACCUAGUGGAUUAUUUAGAAUAUUAUUGGCUUGUGAACGUAAGAGGUCAUGGUAAUAAUAACAAGAAUGAGAACAAUUUUGUGAGCAAAAUACAUUCAGUAAAAUCAAAUAUUUCUUUCGCAGGAUGAUGAGGCAAGUGCAUCUUCUGCUCCAGAUCCACCAGAUCCGCGCUUACAUAACCGUGCGACAGGUUUUUGUUUUGAUUCCAGUUUUGUGCACAUCAAGAAAUGUCCACUCUGUGAAGUGAUGUUUCCUCCUAACUAUGAUCAAACCAAGUUUGAAGAACAUGUUGAAAGUCACUGGAAGGUGUGUCCAAUGUGCUGUGAACAGUUUCCUCCUGAUUAUGACCAGCAAACUUUUGAAAACCAUGUUCAAACACAUUUUGAUCAUAAUGUUUUAAAUUUUGAUUAGUUUGGGGCAUCAUUAUGCAGCAUAAUAGGGAGAAGUUGAUUAAGAUCUAUAAGACAAGAGAAUGCUUCAUGAAUGGUGUAAGCUUAAAGAGAUAGUGGUCAGCAUUGCAGCUGAUUAGAAUAAAGCUUUGACCGAUUACCAAGUAUUUCUUAAUCUAGAACACACCCAAAUAUGUUGUAUCUGUCACUAUUUAUUCCUUGGCUAACAAUUCAUAUGAACACAGGAAAUGUGCAGACUUGUUUAGAAAUCUCCAGAAUUCAGUUUGUGGUGCGAUGACAGUUUUCCUCUUGCUUGUUCUAACAUAUUAAAGUUCAUUCCUUAAUAAAAUGAAGUUUUUCAAUAAA